GUGAAGGCUAUUAAUGUUUUGGUCAGAUCUCUGGCCUGGUUAGUAAGGUCAAAAUGAUCACUGAGGAUCAUCAAUAGGUAAUCUAAAUUAUUAUAACAAAUUUGCUGCCUCACGUCACAGAAAUGAUCCUCGGUUCUUAAAGGUUAAGCCAAUGUAGUACAAGUUCUAGCAGAUUCUAGAAUUCUGGAAAGACUUCCAAGUAUGAUCAUAGUAACAAGAUUGUGCCUGCUACUCAAAGACCAAUCAGGCUUAAGUAUGAAGAAGCUCAUCAACAGAAGGCUAGCCAGGAGCUCAAGAUUCAUAUAACCCUAACAACAACACUGUAAAGAAAAACAACUUUGAAAGACUUAAGAACUCUAAUUAAUGCAACAAGAAAACUCACCUCCAGGAGACCAACAAUGAAGAGGCUCUCCCAUGGUUCCACCAGCCCCCAAGUAUGGAG